GGGAACUAGAUGUAGGGCCUGUUCCACGGGUUCUGUGUCGUAGCUAACGCAUUAAGUUCCCCGCCUGGGGAGUACGGCCCGCAAGGCUAAAACUCAAAGGAAUUGACGGGGGCCCGCACAAGCGGCGGAGCAUGCGGAUUAAUUCGAUGCAACGCGAAGAACCUUACCAAGGCUUGACAUAGCCGAGAACGCUGUAGAGAUACAGAACUCUUUGGACACUCGGUUACAGGUGGUGCAUGGUUGUCGUCAGCUCGUGUCGUGAGAUGUUCGGUUAAGUCCGGCAACGAGCGCAACCCUCGUCCUAUGUUGCCAGCACGUUAUGGUGGGAACUCAUGGGAUACUGCCGUGGUCAACACGGAGGAAGGUGGGGAUGACGUCAAGUCAUCAUGCCCCUUAUGUCUUGGGCUUCACGCAUGCUACAAUGGCCGAUACAAAGGGCUGCGAUACCGCGAGGUGGAGUGAAUCCCAAAAAGUCGGUCUCAGUUCGGAUUGGGGUCUGCAACUCGACCCCAUGAAGUCGGAGUCGCUAGUAAUCGCAGAUCAGCAACGCUGCGGUGAAUACGUUCCCGGGCCUUGUACACACCGCCCGUCAAGUCAUGAAAGUCGGUAACACCCGAAGCCGGUGGCCUAACCCUUGUGGAGGGAGCCGUCGAAGGUGGGACUGGUGAUUAGGACU
rnacentral:rRNA from 1 species